GACGAACGCUGGCGGCGUGCUUAACACAUGCAAGUCGAACGGUAAGGCCCUUCGGGGUACACGAGUGGCGAACGGGUGAGUAACACGUGGGUGAUCUGCCCUGCACUUCGGGAUAAGCCUGGGAAACUGGGUCUAAUACCGGAUAGGACCACUGCCUGCAUGGGUGGUGGUGGAAAGCUUUUGCGGUGUGGGAUGGGCCCGCGGCCCAUCAGCUUGUUGGUGGGGUGAUGGCCUACCAAGGCGACGACGGGUAGCCGGCCUGAGAGGGUGACCGGCCACCCUGGGACUGAGAUACGGCCCAGACUCCUACGGGAGGCAGCAGUGGGGAAUAUUGCACAAUGGGCGCAAGCCUGAUGCAGCGACGCCGCGUGAGGGAUGACGGCCUUCGGGUUGUAAACCUCUUUCAGCACCGACGAAGCGCAAGUGACGGUAGGUGCAGAAGAAGGACCGGCCAACUACGUGCCAGCAGCCGCCGUAA
rnacentral:rRNA from 1 species